UACGGAAGGGGGCUAGCGUUGCUCGGAAUCACUGGGCGUAAAGGGUGCGUAGGCGGGUCUUUAAGUCAGGGGUGAAAUCCUGGAGCUCAACUCCAGAACUGCCUUUGAUACUGGGCAUCUUGAGUCCGGAAGAGGUAAGUGGAACUGCGAGUGUAGAGGUGAAAUUCGUAGAUAUUCGCAAGAACACCAGUGGCGAAGGCGGCUUACUGGUCCGGUACUGACGCUGAGGUGCGAAAGCGUGGGGAGCAAACAGG
rnacentral:rRNA from 1 species